rnacentral:rRNA from 1 species
AUACAGAGGGUGCGAGCGUUAAUCGGAAUUACUGGGCGUAAAGCGCGCGUAGGCGGCUUGGUCAGUCGGAUGUGAAAGCCCCGGGCUCAACCUGGGAACUGCAUUCGAUACUGCAUGACUUGAGUCUGGUAGAGGGAAGUGGAAUUCCGCAUGUAGCGGUGAAAUGCGUAGAUAUGCGGAGGAACAUCAGUGGCGAAGGCGACUUCCUGGACCAAGACUGACACUGAGGUGCGAAAGCGUGGGGAGCAAACAGGAUUAGAAACCCGAGUAGUCC